AGCGUAGGCGGAACUACAAGACAGGGGUCAAAUCUCCGGGCUCAACCUGGAACUUGCCUUUGUGACUGUGGUUCUUGAGUAUGGUAGAGGUUGGCGGGAUUUCCGGUGUAGCGGUGGAAUGCGUAGAGAUCGGAAAGAACACCAGAGGCGAAGGCGGCCAACUGGACCAAUACUGACGCUGAGGCUCGAAAGCGUGGGGAGCAAACAGGAUUAGAUACCCUGGUAGUCCACGCUGUAAACGAUGAACACUAGAUGUCGGGAGGGGUUCCUUCCGGUGUCGUCGCUAACGCAGUAAGUGUUCCGCCUGGGGAGUACGCUCGCAAGGGUGAA
rnacentral:rRNA from 1 species